rnacentral:rRNA from 1 species
UACGGAGGAUCCGAGCGUUAUCCGGAUUUACUGGGUGUAAAGGGAGCGCAGGCGGCGUGGCAAGUCAGAUGUGAAAACCCGGGGCCCAACCCCGGGAGUGCAUUUGAAACUGCCAUGCUGGAGUGCCGGAGAGGUAAGCGGAAUUCCUAGUGUAGCGGUGAAAUGCGUAGAUAUUAGGAGGAACACCAGUGGCGAAGGCGGCUUACUGGGCUUUAACUGACGCUGAGGCACGAAAGCGUGGGUAUCGAACAGG